rnacentral:ncRNA from 1 species
GUAAUGUAUCAGGAACGCAAAAAAUGCGUACCAACCGAGCACAACAGCCACGGUGGUUUAGAAUACGGACAGUUCAGUCAAAAUAAAUGAACCUC